CCUGGGAUUGUAGUUCAAUAAGCAAGAGCACCGCCCUGUCAAGGCGGACGUUGUGGGUUCGAGCCCCGUCAGUUUCGAUGGAUCC
rnacentral:tRNA from 1 species